UACGUAGGGGGGCAAGCGUUGUCCGGAAUCAUUGGGCGUAAAGCGCGUGUAGGCGGCUUGGUAAGUCCGCUCUGAAAGUCCAGGGCUCAACCCCUGGGAAUGCCCGGUGGAUACUGUCGGGGCUCGAAUCCGGAAGAGGGUGAGUGGAAUUCCUGGGUGUAGCGGUGAAAUGCGCAGAUAUCAGGAGGAACACCGAUGGCGAAGGCAGGUCUCUGGGCCACUACUGACGCUGAGAAGCGAAAAGCGUGGGGAGCGAACAGG
rnacentral:rRNA from 1 species